rnacentral:rRNA from 1 species
AUUGAACGCUGGCGGCAUGCCUUACACAUGCAAGUCGAACGGUAACAGGUCUUCGGACGCUGACGAGUGGCGAACGGGUGAGUAAUACAUCGGAACGUGCCCAGUCGUGGGGGAUAACUACUCGAAAGAGUAGCUAAUACCGCAUACGAUCUGAGGAUGAAAGUGGGGGAUCUUCGGACCUCACGCUAUCAGAUGAGCCUAGGUCGGAUUAGCUAGUUGGUGGGGUAAAGGCCUACCAAGGCGACGAUCCGUAACUGGUCUGAGAGGGUGAUCAGUCACACUGGAACUGAGACACGGUCCAGACUCCUACGGGAGGCAGCAGUGGGGAAUAUUGGACAAUGGGCGAAAGCCUGAUCCAGCCAUGCCGCGUGCGUGAAGAAGGUCUUCGGAUUGUAAAGCACUUUAAGUUGGGAGGAAGGGCAGUAAGUUAAUACCUUGCUGUUUUGACGUUUACCAACGAUAAGUACGACCGGACCGUAACUUAACUUUAGUCCGACGACCGCCCGCCGACGUAACGUAACCUACCGUAG